AUGUUCAUCAUUAGAGACUAUAUAAUUAAGGUGAAACAAUUCCAACCACAACUAUUUGGUUUGGGAACUAUAUGUAUUUUGCUGCUAGGAAUGUUAGGCACCUUUGAUAUUCUCAGUUUUCUUUAUUCUUGCUAUAAGUUUUACAUCACAGCAAGAAAAACACCCGACGUGGGCGAUCCGCCCGCGAAGUGGAAACGGGGGGACACGAGCGAUAAUGGCCGUUGCCUCCUGUAUUGGAUCCCAGCAACAUGGUUCUCAGCUAGGUGGUGUAUGUUGUUUCAUGCUAUGAGGAGAAAUUUCACAAAGCUUAUAGGAGACCAAAAUCCCACCCAAAUCAGAUUUAGCUUCAGUUUAGGUAAAUCUUCAAUUGGCUCCAGGUUAUCUGUGUUAUCAGAUUUCCAUGUUAGAGAAAAACUAUGCAAUCAAAAUUAUGUUGUCAUCCUGAAAUUAUCUAGCUCAUAA
rnacentral:rRNA from 1 species